AACGAACGCUGGCGGCAGGCCUAACACAUGCAAGUCGAGCGAGGACUUCGGUCCUAGCGGCAGACGGGUGAGUAACGCGUGGGAACGUGCCCCUUGGUACGGACUAGCCCCGGGAAACUGGGAGUAAUACCGUAUGAGCUCUACGGAGGAAAGAUUUAUCGCCAAGGGAUCGGCCCGCGUUGGAUUAGGUAGUUGGUGGGGUAAUGGCCUACCAAGCCGACGAUCCAUAGCUGGUUUGAGAGGAUGAUCAGCCACACUGGGACUGAGACACGGCCCAGACUCCUACGGGAGGCAGCAGUGGGGAAUCUUAGACAAUGGGCGCAAGCCUGAUCUAGCCAUGCCGCGUGAGCGAUGAAGGCCUUAGGGUUGUAAAGCUCUUUCAGCUGGGAAGAUAAUGACUGUACCAGCAGAAGAAGCCCCGGCUAACUCCGUGCCAGCCGCCGCGGUAAUAC
rnacentral:rRNA from 1 species